CUAAAUUCCACGAGGUCUAUUAUGGAUGAGAAGGAGACAUUAAUAUUAGAACUGCAUUUGGAAGUGAAUAUACUUAUAUCUGAAUGUAAUGAAAUGAAGAAGUCUCUGUACGAGGAUGAAUCCGAGAAAGAAAAUUUGAGAAAGCAGCUGUCCCGGCUGAAAGAGGAUCUGAACAAGAAUGAGGAUGCAUUAAAUAGUUUGGAAAAAAAGCUCACGGAUUCUGACAGUCUAAAAGAGACAAUAAAGUUGCUUGAGUGUCAGAUCAAGCUGAAGGAAAAUGCACUUGAUAACGCAAAGGAUUCAUUUAUGGAGAAGGAGAAAGAUCUUCAAGACAAAAUCGAAGAGUUAGAAAGAAGAUUAGAAGAACUCCAACAGAGCACAGAAAGGUUCUACGAACAGAAGUCCCUAAAGGUGGCGAUGGAUGAUCUAAAUCUCACAACUACAACAGGCACGGAAAAUGAAAAUCCCUCUCAAACAUUGUCUACAGAGAGCAACAACAGCUGUUGUUCGGACGAGGAAAUGGAAAGCACAGCAUGUAAUACCAGAAAUCUCGAAGAACUAUCAAAUGAAAUGGAACUACUGAAGGAGAGGAACAAGUUUAUGGAAGUUGAAUUGAAGGAAAUGCAAGGUAGAUAUUCAGAAAUAAGCCUCAAAUUUGCAGAAGUAGAAGGAGAAAGACAGAAGCUCGCGAUGAAACUGAGAAACAUCAAGAGCACGAAAAAAGAACUGGUAAAAUAGAUUUAAAUUGAAAUAAAUGUAAAUUGCUGAGGAAUUUUAUUAUUAUUCUUUACUUAUUUUUUCCUUGCAUAGAG
rnacentral:misc_RNA from 1 species